AAUCAAUCAGAGGCUCUGAAGACCAUGAAAACGAUUCACACUCUGUCAGACCAAUCCAGUCUGAGAGCACCAAUCAGGACUCUGCCACACAUCACAUGGUCAACCUGAAUGAAACUCAAGAUCACAUCUACAAUUCUCUUCUCCAUGGUGAUACUUGUCUCUAUGAAUCAAUCAAAGGCUCUGAAGACCCAAAUUGAAAAUCAGCUCCUGCAGCUACUGAUGAACCUGUUUAUUCUGAAGUUAAACCAGGAACAGCUCAUGGU